rnacentral:rRNA from 1 species
UACGGGGGGAGCAAGCGUUGUUCGGAUUUACUGGGCGUAAAGGGCGCGUAGGCGGUCAGCACAAGUCAGUUGUGAAAUCUCCGGGCUUAACUCGGAAAGGUCAACUGAUACUGUGCGACUAGAGUGCAGAAGGGGCAACUGGAAUUCUCGGUGUAGCGGUGAAAUGCGUAGAUAUCGAGAGGAACACCGGUGGCGAAGGCGGCCAACUGGACAGAUACUGACGCUGAGACACGAAAGCGUGGGGAGCAAACAGG